rnacentral:rRNA from 1 species
UGGGGAAUUUUGGACAAUGGGCGAAAGCCUGAUCCAGCAAUGCCGCGUGUGUGAAGAAGGCCUUCGGGUUGUAAAGCACUUUUGUCCGGAAAGAAAUCCUUGGCUCUAAUACAGUCGGGGGAUGACGGUACCGGAAGAAUAAGCACCGGCUAACUACGUGCCAGCAGCCGCGGUAAUACGUAGGGUGCAAGCGUUAAUCGGAAUUACUGGGCGUAAAGCGUGCGCAGGCGGUUUGCUAAGACCGAUGUGAAAUCCCCGGGCUCAACCUGGGAACUGCAUUGGUGACUGGCAGGCUAGAGUAUGGCAGAGGGGGGUAGAAUUCCACGUGUAGCAGUGAAAUGCGUAGAGAUGUGGAGGAAUACCGAUGGCGAAGGCAGCCCCCUGGGCCAAUACUGACGCUCAUGCACGAAAGCGUGGGGAGCAAACAGGAUUAGAUACCCUGGUAGUCCACGCCCUAAACGAUGUCAACUAGUUGUUGGGAUUCAUUUCCUAGUAACGUAGCUAACGCGUGAAGUUGACCGCCUGGGGAGUACGGUCGCAAGAUUAAAACUCAAAGGAAUU